rnacentral:rRNA from 1 species
GAUGAACGCUGGCGGCGUGCCUAAUACAUGCAAGUCGAGCGAACAGACGAGGAGCUUGCUCCUCUGAUGUUAGCGGCGGACGGGUGAGUAACACGUGGAUAACCUACCUAUAAGACUGGGAUAACUUCGGGAAACCGGAGCUAAUACCGGAUAACAUGUUGAACCGCAUGGUUCAACAGUGAAAGACGGUCUUGCUGUCACUUAUAGAUGGAUCCGCGCCGCAUUAUCUAGUUGGUAAGGUAACGGCUUACCAAGGCAACGAUGCGUAGCCGACCUGAGAGGGUGAUCGGCCACACUGGAACUGAGACACGGUCCAGACUCCUACGGGAGGCAGCAGUAGGGAAUCUUCCGCAAUGGGCGAAAGCCUGACGGAGCAACGCCGCGUGAGUGAAGAAGGUCUUCGGAUCGUAAAACUCUGUUAUUAGGGAAGAACAAAUGUGUAAGUAACUAUGCACGUCUUGACGGUACCUAAUCAGAAAGCCACGGCUAACUACGUG